rnacentral:rRNA from 1 species
CGUGGAUAACCUACCUAUAAGACUGGGAUAACUUCGGGAAACCGGAGCUAAUACCGGAUAAUAUAUUGAACCGCAUGGUUCAAUAGUGAAAGACGGUUUUGCUGUCACUUAUAGAUGGAUCCGCGCCGCAUUAGCUAGUUGGUAAGGUAACGGCUUACCAAGGCAACGAUGCGUAGCCGACCUGAGAGGGUGAUCGGCCACACUGGAACUGAGACACGGUCCAG